UACGUAGGGUGCAAGCGUUGUCCGGAAUCAUUGGGCGUAAAGCGCGUGUAGGCGGCUGACUAAGUCCGCUCUGAAAGCCCGGGGCUCAACCCCGGGAGGCGGGUGGAUACUGGUCAGCUCGAGUCCGGAAGAGGAGUGUGGAAUUCCUGGUGUAGCGGUGAAAUGCGCAGAUAUCAGGAGGAACACCAAUGGCGAAGGCAGCACUCUGGGACGGUACUGACGCUGAGACGCGAAAGCGUGGGGAGCAAACAGG
rnacentral:rRNA from 1 species